rfam:Puccinia graminis f. sp. tritici CRL 75-36-700-3 supercont2.10 genomic scaffold, whole genome shotgun sequence.
GGUCCGGUGGUGUAGUUGGUUAUCACACUCGCUUCACACUCAUACAGCUCUUGGGAAGGAGUCGCGAGAGGUCAUGAGUUCGAGCCUCGUCCGGAUCA